rnacentral:lncRNA from 1 species
AUUUUUUUCAGUACUUUUGGAGCCAAAAUAACAGCAAUAUUUAAGUUAUAAACAUAGCUUGCAUACAAAUUAUGUUAAUAAUUAGGAGGAAUGCUUGUAAUUCAUAAUGCUAAGUUACUUGGCUUUACAUCCAUCAACAUGGUACUAGUGGAAGACACACACAUACACAAUUAAACUAUUUAUUUUUGCAGAAUAUUCAUGAGGCUAUUGUUAUUCUUUUUCCUUUAGUAUCAGCACAAUGUAUCAUUCAGUUACCAUUCCAAAAUGAGGAGUACUAUACGUAUUGCAUGUGCCAUUUGUGUAUUUUCUGUUAGGGAAUUAAACAGUCAUUUUCAAUCAUCUUCCAUAUUUUAAUGAUUUCUUUUGGAAAUUCCUAAUCUGAUUUGUAUUGUUCAAGAAUGUAUCUUCAACACAAAGUAGGGUAUGAGUGGAUUUGAUAGUGUUUGGCCACUUAGAUCUCUGGACCUAAACCUUUUAGAUAAGGGCUGUCCAAUUAUAAUGACCCCAAGGGCCGCAACCAUCAUUAUUAGAGAUAUGGAGGGCCGCAGCUACAAAAAAGAGAGGAGAGGGGUUGACAUCUCUUCCCCUUUUUUUUGUAGCUGCGGUCUACACAAAAUAUAUAAACGCUUUUUCG